CUGGUACAGGCCUGGGGGACAG
rnacentral:miRNA from 1 species